rnacentral:rRNA from 1 species
CCUACGGGAGGCAGCAGUCGAGAAUCAUUCACAAUGGGGGAAACCCUGAUGGUGCGACGCCGCGUGGGGGAAUGAAGGUCUUCGGAUUGUAAACCCCUGUCCUGUGGGAGCAAAUUAAAAAGAUAGUACCACAAGAGGAAGAGACGGCUAACUCUGUGCCAGCAGCCGCGGUAAUACAGAGGUCUCAAGCGUUGUUCGGAAUCACUGGGCGUAAGGCGUGCGUAGGCUGUUUCGUAAGUCGUGUGUGAAAGGCGCGGGCUCAACCCGCGGACGGCACAUGAUACUGCGAGACUAGAGUAAUGGAGGGGGAACCGGAAUUCUCGGUGUAGCAGUGAAAUGCGUAGAUAUCGAGAGGAACACUCGUGGCGAAGGCGGGUUCCUGGACAUUAACUGACGCUGAGGCACGAAGGCCAGGGGAGCGAAAGGGAUUAGAUACCCGGGUAGUC